GGGCCCGCACAAGCAGUGGAGCAUGUGGUUUAAUUCGAUGCAACGCGAAGAACCUUACCUAGGCUUGAAAGGCAAGUGACCGACUGUGAAAGCAGUCUUCCCGCAAGGGCACUUGUACAGGUGCUGCAUGGCUGUCGUCAGCUCGUGCCGUGAGGUGUUGGGUUAAGUCUCGCAACGAGCGCAACCCCUACCAUUAGUUGCCAUCAGGUUAUGCUGGGCACUCUAAUGGGACUGCCUACGCAAGUAGUGAGGAAGGUGGGGAUGACGUCAAGUCAGCAUGGCCCUUACGUCUAGGGCUACACACGUGCUACAAUGGGCACUACAACGGGUUGCUAAGCCGCAAGGUGGAGCCAAUCCCUAAAAGGUGUCCUCAGUUCGGAUUGGAGUCUGAAACUCGACUCCAUGAAGCUGGAAUUGCUAGUAAUCGCGGAUCAGCACGCCGCGGUGAAUACGUUCCCGGGCCUUGUACACACCGCCCGUCAAGCCAU
rnacentral:rRNA from 1 species